UCCCAACUUUCAAAGAAGAAUAUACACCUAGACAUAAAUCGCCACUGUUGAACCGCGUAACAGGCUACAGCAGCUGUUUGCUUUCCGGCUCUGAGCUCUGCACCCACGAUGGCCUGUGCCGUUUACCCAGCGAGCUCUGCUAGCUGCCUGGCUGGAAUCUGUUCCGGGUUGGGAGUUGUCAUUGGAGAGCACGUUUUAACCCUCUUCCUCGUGGUAAAUGUGGACCGUUUGUUGUUCGGCAUUUGGAUCGGGAACAAGGCCCCUACCACGCACCUCUAAGAACAAAGAUGGUACCUAUUCACCCCGACCCAGACUUCUUCGACCCUAGCAAGAUGGAAAGUUGGCAUCAGAGGAGCGGAGAGACUCACGUCAUUCUAAGAGUCAGUACUGACUGCUUAAUGCUCCCGCGAGUUCCUCCAGAAGCAACACCCAAGCACGCAAGUGUUGGAUUUUGUCCAAGAGAGCAUGUAAUUUAUGAAGGAAGUGUACGUCAUUCACAUUUUCCAGAAAAGAGGACAAAAAACAGCAGAGAGAGCCUAGGACACAAUGACUCCAGUACACAUGAGGACAUCCAGCACCCAGCUCUUAGUGUCUGUUACUGGUCUCCAAUAAAAGGAACUAGAACUCCUUGGGGAAAUGCCUGAUUCUAGGUCUUGGCAGGAAAUACGCAAAAUGGGCCUGGAGCAUCUUAUAGUGCCAAAAUGUAAGGAAGUGCCAAAAAAUAAAAGGCAAACAAUGAUGAAGAUAUAUCAAAGGGAGACAGGAGACAACUGGAAGAGGUUCUAACGGCUAAAGUCGGAAGAAUUUGAACAACAAAAUAAAGAAAGUAGUAUUGGAUUAUAACCCAAAGAAAAAAAUAAAUAUCCAUGAGUACAUACUGAUAUAAAUUAAUAAUUUAAUAUAGAAAUAACUUGGAGAAAAUAGACAAUUAUCCCAUGCAGAAGAAUCUCAAAUAAUUUAUUGGAAUAUAUAUAUAUUCCGUUCUUAAGCAGGUGGAACAUACAUGCCCACCUCUCAAGUAUGGGCUAAGCAUAGUGACUUCCUUCCAAAGAAUGCAAUAUUGAAAGAGAGAGGGAAUGAAGAGUAAAUUUACAGCAGAGAAAGCUGACAAACACUUCCCCAAGCCAGGUGAUCAAGGUUAACAUCAUGGUAAGUUAUUUUGAUAAUGUUCCACUUUGAUAUUAUGUGAUGAGAAUGGCAAUUUACCUUUGUGGUCUUGAUCCCAAGAAAUGCAUUACUCCAGUCUAAGCAUAAGAAAAAAACAUCAGACAAAUUCCAGUUGAGAGAGAUUCUAUGGAACAGUUGACCAGUAAACCUCAAAACUGUCAAGAUUGAUGGAAACAAGGAAAGUCUGAGAAACUGUCACAACCAAGAGUAGCCUAAAUCAACAUGACUAUUAAUAUAAUGCAGUAUCCUGUAUGGGAUCCUGGAACAACAACCAAAAAAAGGGCAUUAGGUAAAACCUAAGGAAAUCUGAAUAAAGUAUGGACUUUAGUCUGUAAUAAUGUACCAACUGUGUUUGACAAAUUGUGGCACAUAAAUUAUACUUAUGUAAUGAGAAACUGGGUUUGGGGUAUACGGGAAAUCUUUGUACCAUCUUUGCAAUAAUUCUGUAAAUGUAAAAUUGUUCUAAAAUUAAAAGUUUAUUAAAAUAUGCACUAGAAAAUGUUUUAAAUAGAAAAAAUGAUUAAAUACUUCAUGGGUGUGUUACUCAAUGUUUUCUUAAGUGUGG
ensembl:lncRNA